rnacentral:rRNA from 1 species
UACGAAGGGGGCUAGCGUUGCUCGGAAUCACUGGGCGUAAAGCGCACGUAGGCGGAUUGUUAAGUCGGGGGUGAAAUCCUGGAGCUCAACUCCAGAACUGCCUUCGAUACUGGCGAUCUUGAGUCCGGGAGAGGUGAGUGGAACUCCGAGUGUAGAGGUGAAAUUCGUAGAUAUUCGGAGGAACACCAGUGGCGAAAGCGGCUCUCUGGGGGCAAACUGACGCUGAGGCGCGAAAGCGUGGGGAGCGAACAGG